ACGGCCUAAGCAGGCGAAAGUACAGUGUCUGUCCUUAUCAGCUUAAUAUCUGAUACGGGUUGUAUAUGAACCCAAGAUGCUAAACUUAUUUUUUUUUUUUUGCAAGUUGGCGGAGUGCUUUAAACCUGCUUCACCUCCUCCGUAGGCCGGACCCGUAUCGCACCCUCUUCGGAAUCGGCCCAUGUUUU